GCUGGACGACGAAAAGCACACGUCCGCAUAGUACAGAACAAUGCCCGUCGGCGGUCGCGUCGCCGGCAAAGGAGGUGGCGUUUACAGCUCUUCGCACAAUGGAACGAUCGUCGGCGACCAUUAAGUUCCCGACUGUUAACGCUCAUUGAGAGCUCUGUAACUGCGCGCAACGGCGAGCAGUUCUGCAGCGUGAAAUCCCUCCGCGACUCACACUCGCACGCAGCCUCUGUAACUUUAACCAACUACCAUCGUGGACCGCAAGAGGUUUGAGAAUUUAACAGGACGCGGGUCAAGCGGGGUGAACGAGACGAUAAUCUGGACGAGCGUUGGCAUGGGUAUAACGAUCACGCUGCUGAUAACGAUCGCCUUGUGUUAUAUCGCCCGUGAGAAGUGUAAGAAGCGCCACGAGCCGUUCAG